UACGAAGGGGGCUAGCGUUGCUCGGAAUGACUGGGCGUAAAGGGCGCGUAGGCGGCUUGCACCGUCAGAUGUGAAAUUCCUGGGCUUAACCUGGGGGCUGCAUUUGAUACGUGUGGGCUUGAGUGCGGAAGAGGGUCGUGGGAAUUCCCAGUGUAGAGGUGAAAUUCGUAGAUAUUGGGAAGAACACCGGUGGCGAAGGCGGCGA
rnacentral:rRNA from 1 species